rnacentral:rRNA from 1 species
GUUUGAUCAUGGCUCAGAUUGAACGCUGGCGGCAGGCUUAACACAUGCAAGUCGAACGAACUCUUCGGAGUUAGUGGCAGACGGGUGAGUAACGCGUGGGAACCUACCCAAGGGUACGGGACAACUCAGGGAAACUUGAGCUAAUACCGUAUACGUCCUUAGGGAGAAAGAUUUAUCGCCCCUGGAUGGGCCCGCGUUGGAUUAGCUAGUUGGUGGGGUAAUGGCCUACCAAGGCGACGAUCCAUAGCUGGUCUGAGAGGAUGAUCAGCCACAUCGGGACUGAGACACGGCCCGAACUCCUACGGGAGGCAGCAGUGGGGAAUAUUGGACAAUGGGCGCAAGCCUGAUCCAGCCAUGCCGCGUGAGUGAUGAAGGCCCUAGGGUUGUAAAACUCUUUCAGUGGUGAAGAUAAUGACGGUAACCACAGAAGAAGCUCCGGCUAACUCCGUGCCAGCAGCCGCGGUAAUAC